rnacentral:lncRNA from 1 species
CUGCGGACAGGUGGUUUCUGCAGCGCCUUUUGUCCAGCUGGCCGGGUUAGCCGGCAGGCUGCUCGGGACAGAGUCUGCCACUGAUCACACAGCGAAGCUGCCGCCUCAGUUACGGCCGUGCAGCAGUGAGCAGUCUCUUUUGAUGUACAUUCUGAAGAGCUUACACAACAGGACAGGGAUUUUUAGCACACUUCAGUUCUUUCCUGAAACAGCAGUGCUAAUGAGACUUGUCUUCCCAUGGAUUAUGUCUCAUGUUUCAUUGCAGAGCUCACCUGAACCCUUUUCCAUAGACAAGGUGUAUGCCUUACUUGCUUAGAAGCCUGUCCCUUCCCUGUCACCUUCUAUGCGUCUCGUAUUUUGUUGGCAGUGCUGAACACUCCGAGACUCAUCAAUGCUGUGAGUGAAUACAAAGCUAGCAUUUGAAGUAUGGUUUUUUAUUUUCACCAAACGACUCUGAAAAAUGACAUCUGUAAGCUCUGUGUUCAUUGUUUUUCUAUGAAUUCCAGCCCACGUUUUGAGGUAUGCUAUUUUGUAACUGCCAAUCUGCAGAUUCAGUCUGGGAUAUAACAAUAGUGCUGUGAUUUUUUUGUUUCCCCCCUCCCUUCUUGCUUAUCACCUGGCACAAAGAGUCUGCAAGCCAAACUGUGAUCAUGAAUAUCUGUG